rnacentral:rRNA from 1 species
GCGUAUGCGACGCGGAGGGACAUUA